ACCUUUUAAGUGCAUGUGCAGAUUUGUUAUGCAAGUAAAUGUGUGCCGUGGUGGUUUGCUGCACAGAUCAUCUCAUCACCCAGGGACUUGCUGGCCACCAAGUCACAUUCAGCACAUGAGCGAGGCAGACUGGAGUGCUAGGAAGUCAUGGCCCAUGGGAGCAGGACUUCUUACCAACAAAACGAGAAGUGGUUCUUCUGUUGGUGGAGCCGCCUAGGGAGUCAGGUUAAAAUAUUUACACAUUUCCAUAACAAGAAAGACCAGAUGUGAAGUAGAACUAAAAAUAUCCUUC